AUAAAUAGGGCCGCGUCGGCGCAGGCCUGUCUCUUUAGGCGUCCCUCUCUGGGUGAGCUUGUUCUCGAACCGAUCCGUGAUUCCAGACACCUUGUUUAUGGAGGAAAGAAGAGGACCUGCAUGGGCACCUACUGAAUAUUUAACUAUGUCCAACAUGGUGAAAUUUUGUCUGUAUUAGGGCCUCAGCCAUUAGAAGCUGGGAAACCUUUUCUGCCUACUUAGCCCAUGUGAAUGAAUAAGAUCUUGGAGAAAGACGUCAGUUUCCAGGGUGAAGCUUGGAGAGACUUCACAGUUUACCAUCCAGGAGAGAAGGUCACGAUGGAGGCAGAA
ensembl:processed_transcript